UUUGUAUUACGUGCGGAAAUUGUUACCAUUUUUAAGCCGAAAAUGGUAACAAUUUCCGCACGUAAUACAAA
rnacentral:miRNA from 1 species